UUCCUGAUGUCUCUACUAACCUGGUCUA
rnacentral:piRNA from 1 species